rnacentral:pre_miRNA from 1 species
UCUUAAGGAUGAGCAACGGAAGUGACUUCUUGAUAUGCAAUCUACUCCUGGUGAAGAUGCUAUGAA